rnacentral:rRNA from 1 species
CUCGUAGGCGGUCUGUCGCGUCGAAUGUGAAAACCCGGGGCUCAACUCCGGGCUUGCAUUCGAUACGGGCAGGCUAGAGUUCGGUAGGGGAGUCUGGAAUUCCUGGUGUAGCGGUGAAAUGCGUAGAUAUUAGGAGGAACAUCAGUGGCGAAGGCGGCUUACUGGACUGAAACUGACACUGAGGCGCGAAAGCGUGGGGAGCAAACA